CCUGUUGGAAGAAAAAAGACAAAAAAGUCGCAAAAACAACGACACUCGAGUCUUGUUUUAAAACAAGCCUCGGCUGUUUGCAACGAUCGCGGCGCAAUCGUGUCGUCUAGUUUCGCCAGCAGCCUGACAAAUACAGGAUUUUUCUGUUUACGGAGUCAGCGAGAUACGUUCCUUUUCCGUAGAUGCCCAUCGCGACCAUUUUGAUUGUCAUCUCCAAGGCGAAGAAGGCGAAAAUGAUGUCGUCGAACAUCUGUAAGCCAGAAGGCCAGGCUGGCCGAUUAGACGACAACACGCUUAACCCGAUCGAGCGUAAUUGAUCAAGGACACUAGAGCAGCAAGUUGCAUUAGCUGUCGAACCACCGACUACUGUUCAAUCGCGUUUGCUUCCCUUUUCUCUUUGACGUGUGAAACCAAACGUGGAAAGCAGGACAAACAGCGCAAUUAAUCAAUCGCCUCCUGCAUCCAGACUUUCGUGCCUUGACAUUUUUUCUCUUUGAAGGAAACUUUCUUCGCGACUCUUCUUUCUCUUCUUUUCAUUUUUCUUCUGGCACGAGCCAGAAAACAAAGAUAGAACGAAAAUGGGACACGAAGUUUUCCAGAGAACCUGGAGGGACAGAGUUUCGCUGGGAUUUUUAUACCGACGUUAAUUUGAAUCGUCGGACGUGUAAAUUAACGUGUUCCUAAGCCUCGUAAAUCAGUUCGAUGGUUUUUGACUGAAUCGCGCUUUCUUGUGCGAUCGAUUCUUGAAAGCUACGAUAAGCGAAAUUUGUUUGAAUCCCACGCGAAGUUUGUUGCAAUAUCAUCGCGUUGCGAUGUGGUUAUUUGUAACCGAUAGCGCAGACAAUCGUUUUUCCCCCUUUUUAUAUAACAUCGAAUAGCGAUAAAACAUUUAAUUCUGUUUAAUUCGAUCUUGUUAAGCUUUCAACUUAAAAUAGACGUGAAGGAUUUUUAGCCUUUAGGGGUUGAAAUAUUUUUUUUUCACGUUUGAGAAAAAUGAGAAGGAAAAUUCGUGAUUUGUCGUUUCAAUCCUUCUGUCAAAAAUAUUCUUAGGGUAUCUGAAGAUGUUUUCUCAUGAUCGAAACAAAUGGGAUUAGAAUAACAGAAAGCCGAAGGAUUGCAACGAAAUUAAAAUUCAAUUUUCAUUUGUGGAUUGCAUAAUAGAAAUUUAAUCUUCGAAAUAGCGUUUAUUGGUUUUUAGAAUUUUGAUCCAUUUUCUCGAUUAAUCGCUGGACUCGGUGAAAUCACGCGCGCAUUUUUCGAUUCCAGUAAUACUGAAUAUCUUCAAAUUCAUUUGUAAAAUAACAAAACAUUUUUCUCGUAGUAUAUGGUCGAGCUGUGUAUGCAGAUUAGCGGAUAUUAACAAUGGGAUACACGUGAAUGUCAGAGCUGACCCGAAACGAGGCGAAAAACAGGUUAACAACUGGUUAAAUUCUAUACGCAUAUUCUGUAUGGCUUGAUAAUUAAGUCGUAUCACUAAUUAAAAUUAUUCAGCGUAGUCGCGCACGCUGACAUAAAAACGGCGAAAGAGAAAGAGCGUUGCGAUUUCAUCGCGCAAGCUGCAGUGGAAAGUGCAGCAACCUAUAAAUCGUGACGCACGGAAUUGUAAUUGCAACCUUUUGCCAAGUCGAGAAUUACGAGGUGGAUCUUUCACGUCGAUUGAAAACUGCAGCUCAUGAAAUAGUCCUAGAAAUCUGUUAUAAUUUUUCUUUUCACAUUAAAAAAAAUCAUUUUGUAUUCGUUAAAUAUAUAUAAAACCAUACCUCCAAAUUCAAUAACUUCAUUUCCUUCUUUCCCUUCUAAAAUAAAUCACAGAAAGACGCUGUUCUAGAACAUCCUAAUUCAGGACACCGGCUUAAUAUUAAAAUUGCCCACGUUCAUAAAGGUGACGCGAUAUAAAUAACUAAUUUUCAGAUAAAAAUUUCUUUGUUUUUCAACCGAAUUACGCUCGCGCUAUAUACCGCCCACUCAGAUUCAAUUUUCAUAUUUCAAGGGAGAAACAUACGGAAUCGAUGACGUAAUUUUAGUAAAGCUUCGAAGCUUGCAAAGCUUGUAGGAGACCUCUACGAAAUCGUAUUCUCCGAAGUUCGACGAAUUUUUGGAAACAACCGUUGCAAAUACAAAGCUUGCACGUUUUACAGUGGCACAAUGCGACACACGCUACGGCGACACUCUCCUUGGCGAAAUUGCGUUAAAAAACGAAAUUUUUUAUCGCGCCCCGUAGAAGAUAAAGCGAAAGAACUGACUGGCAGCAUUUUACCGUUUCUCUUCGACCAAUCGUAAAAUCGAUGGAUUUUUCUCUUUCGACGAUAUCCUGUCUCCUAACUAACGAAUGAGAACUCCAUUUCAAUUACUAAUUAUCAAUCAAUUAUUAAUAUAGGAAAUUUAUGUCAGCAGAAAUUUCCACGAGUUUCCAUACGAACAUUAAAUAUAUUAAAUCCGGGAAUAUAACGUAAAUAUGGUUUCGAGUUGGAGUAAGGGCACGAUCUUCAAUAAAAAUCAAACAAGAAGAAAAAUAACGCGCAAAAAGGUGGAAAUUUCAGUAAGUAAACACGUUGGGAGAACAACCCUCGAAAGUAGAGUUUCGAAUUUUGAGAACUUCUCGCCACUAAAAUAUGCGAAAAAUAUUCAUGCUUCAAAGUUGCACGAAACACAUUAUUCGUGGAACUUUUUGUCACCUUCAGUGGACGGGGAAAAAAUACGUUUACCAUUCAAACUCGAUUUUUUACAAUUCCACGACUUUAGUCCUUCUCCUACCGUCUCGUAUGAAGACCAAUAAACAACGUACGACGUUCUGUAACAUGUU